GUUCUCUUCUACAGCACAUAUGCUAAAAUUGGAAUGAUACAGAGAAGAUUAGCAUGGCCCCUGACAAGGAUGACACUCAAACUUGUGAAGCAUUACCAAAGAAA